UACACUCCUACGGGAGGCAGCAGUGGGGAAUAUUGCACAAUGGGCGCAAGCCUGAUGCAGCCAUGCCGCGUGUAUGAAGAAGGCCUUCGGGUUGUAAAGUACUUUCAGCGGGGAGGAAGGCAAUACGGUUAAUAACCGUGUUGAUUGACGUUACCCGCAGAAGAAGCACCGGCUAACUCCGUGCCAGCAGCCGCGGUAAUACGGAGGGUGCAAGCGUUAAUCGGAAUUACUGGGCGUAAAGCGCACGCAGGCGGUCUGUCAAGUCGGAUGUGAAAUCCCCGGGCUCAACCGGGGAACUGCAUUCGAAACUGGCAGGCUUGAGUCUUGUAGAGGGGGGUAGAAUUCCAGGUGUAGCGGUGAAAUGCGUAGAGAUCUGGAGGAAUACCGGUGGCGAAGGCGGCCCCCUGGACAAAGACUGACGCUCAGGUGCGAAAGCGUGGGGAGCAAACAGGAUUAGAAACCCCGGUAGUCCCAUGA
rnacentral:rRNA from 1 species